rnacentral:antisense_RNA from 1 species
AGCUGUGGAUUCCAAAGCUCAGUAAAUUAAGGAAUUUCACAUUAUGAACUCAAUUUGAGAUGGGCUGGACUGGUGAUACCUGGAAGGGGUAAAUGAGAAUCCACUCUGGAGGCACUUUAUGCCUCAGGGAGCAUCCAGAAAUAAUUUUUCAGGGGCUGGAAACCUAACAAUUUCACUUCCUAGACAACUUGCUAAAAGUCACCUAAAGACAGUCUGGUUACUGCCAAAGAUAUGCUUUCAAAUAAGAUUUGGAUAAAGAAGGGAGGUAGAUGCCUUUUUUCAGCAGUGGAGUGAUGUCUAGACCAGUAGACAUAUGCAUCUAAGUGAACUCAUCACCAGCAACAAUUUCCUGAAACUUCCUGACCUCCAGAUUGCAGCUUCAUUAGUGUGAGUUUAAAGCCAACUAGAUGCCAUUCUCAGAUUCCACGCAUAUGGCCAAGGGUCCAGGAAAUAAGAAGAAACAGGGUUGAGGGGUUGGUGUUACGGGGCAUUUACUUGAAUUUUCUAUGCUAUAAUUGUCUCAUCUUUAAAAUGGUGAUAAUAAUAAAAUUGUCAGUUAUUAAAUAAAUUAACACAGUGAAA